rnacentral:lncRNA from 1 species
AAGUAAUAAUUCGAUCCAUUUAAAAUAAUUUUGAAAUAUUAUAUUUUAAUUGACAAAGAAAAAGUGUUAUAUGAAUGAAGGCUACUGUGGAAGAAUCCUCCAAUAAUUCAUAUUCGCGUGACUAAGACUGCUCGUGAAGAAAAAAAAAAGUUAGUGAAAAGAAAAGUAAAGGCCGUCACUUCACGGCCUGUAACAGCCGUUAAAGUUCCAUAACGCCCGGUACAAAAACAAAAUUUUAUCACCGUUAUUUCAGGGCCUUAACAGCCAGGACCCCUUCAAAACCAGUAAUAUUUAAACCAUGAUCAUAAUAUCCCUUGGGUCGACUUCCAUCCCCCUCGUCAUUACACCAGGUUCAGAGUAGAUCUCCCUGUUGCCUCUGAAUUCAAUGUCAGCCUGCUUACAGUAUGCAACUCCUGCCACAAUGCAAGUAGACACAUCUCCAUUAUUUACUAACUUUAGAUAUCAUAAGAUCCAAAUUGCCCAAACUCAAGAAAAUUAUCCUUCAAAUGCAAGCAGAACCCAUAUUAGUUCAAAGUAGUUCUGCAUCGAUCCACUGGCAUCCUUUCAAGCAAAUAUUUGAAAUAAGCAAGUUCUGUUAAACCAAUAAAUCAUAACUACAGAAAACUCAAAUGAAUACUUGCUAGUGUGCAGAUUUAAAAGUUGUCUUUUACAUCUUAUCCACAAAAUACAGUUAAUAAAUCCCCACACUAUCACCACAGACCACAGAUCGAAUGAGAAAGCAUCCACCCUCCUCCCCCUUCCCUCUCUAAAUUAAAUUUCACAAGCUUNNNCAACCACCUAUGUGCACCCAGGCCAAAAACAAGCAAAAAAACUCACGUGCAUGGAAUAUCACACUAAAUUAUUUUGUUGCCAAAUUAAUUUAACUUGAAACAUAAAAGAGCAAUCAACUGACCUCGAGGGAGAGGGACAUAUUAUUCAACCUUAUCUUCCACAUCCUUUUGGUGCUUCUUAUCCAUUUCCCUCAUAGUAUUCAGCCUGAUGAUCUGUGAUCCAGAAAAUAGGGUUUUACAAUGGAUUCUGUAAAAUUGGAAAAAAGUUUAGACCUAGAGGAGAGUAUUUCUCCUUUUAUAUGUUUUCUUUUGUCUGCUAGUGACGUGUAACAGAAUGUACGUCAUUGGGCCACAUGUCCCUGUCACGUUCAUAUGGACGUACGAGGAAAUCAGAUCGCUGCCCCAUACGUAACGGCCUCUGAUUCUCCCCGGGCACGCAUGCGGAUGGUCCCACAAGGCGAAUGGGCUGAACUCCUUCUUGGUUUCGAGCUGGGCCGGAAGAUAAGGUUAAGACUAGGCCCAGAGGGGAUCUGUUCAUUGGGCCGAAAGAGCUGGGCCGGCCUUAUUGAAGAAUCUGACUGGAGCCCGGUCUUUAAGCGGAGCGGGCUGGAUCUGGCUCUUGGAGGAGACUUAGAAGCCUUCAGAUUAUGGGCUGUCCUAAUGGGCCUGACCUUAGACCGGGGCGAAGAAAUCCAGCGGUCAUCAAUUGCCCUUUUAUCUCCUUGUCAGUUAUUGCCCGACUGAAGAGGGGGUAAAUACCGAGAGUCAUCAUGACCGUGCCGCCCAAGGACAAAACUGUUCAAAACAUCUUUUCGGCUCUUUAUUGUUUCAAAUUUCACUUCCCGUCAGUCUCCCCAGAACGUUGGCUCUUCUCUGUUCUACUGCUCUCUUUGCUUUCCUCUGCUCAUUUGCCCUAAUCACUUUUCAGGUACGCCUCUUCUUUUUCAUGGAUAGUUCUAGUCUCCCCGAUGUCGUCAACCAGGAGUCUAGCAUCACCCCGUCUAACAUUAGGAAUUUCAUUUCUAGGGAAUACCUGGAUACCCCUCUUUAUCACAUCCGGGCUCCUUACCAAAAUGAGAGGAUCGUUCUUCCUGAUCCUUCUCCCCCUGGCCUAAUCAACCCUCAAAGAGACGUCAGUCUAAUCUUCUUCAUCAAACAGAGGGAGUACGGUCUGUCCUUCCCCUUUUCUCCUUUCUUCAAAGAGGUCUUCCAGUAUUUCGAGAUUACCCCUCGAAUGCUAACCCCUAACUCCGUUCUUUUCAUGUCUUGCUUUGAAUCUGUGUGUCUGAGCUGGGGGUUUACACCCACGGUUCACCUGUUCGUCAGCUUCUUCAGGUUAGUCAAAGCGAGCCAGAAAUUUUAUUACUUUGCCCCUCGCGGAGGGUUGUCCAUUUUCACGGGUUAUAAAGACUCCAUCAAGGGCUGGGUAGAGGGGUUUCUGGUGGUGGAGUUGAAGAAGAAUACGGGGUUGGCUUGGGAGCUCGGUCUUGACUGGGAGGAUGUCUCUCUGGGUUGCAACGACCUGCCCCAGUUGAGCCUCACUGAGCAGGUCGGAUUCCUUCGACUGACUUCUGUGGAUAGGAAGUAUGACGUCGAAAAGUGCUUGUAAGCGUCCAACCUUAGGGAUAUUAAGGACGCGUGUAUCUUAUUCUAUUUGCCUGUGUUAGUUUUUGCUUACGCGACCUUUGCUCAGAACUGUUCUGAUUUGCUUUGAUUUUUAAUUUUGUAGCCUCCGAGGUGAAGAUGGAUCAGAUUUCCCAAGAAUCUCAUACUGUCCCGGGAGAGCAUGGACAAUGCUCUGGAUGCUCUCCUGGCUGGGCAAUCUGUAAGGGAUGCUACUCAGAGGGUGGCCGAGGUUAUUUCUUCCAGAUCGGUUACCCGACCUCCUCCUCCUCCGGUCUCCUCACAAGCUCCUAGACCAAGCUCCCGACGUAGUAAGUCGUCUCGGCCCUCUAGACGCAGUAGAUCGAGCUCGGCUCACUAGUCCUCUCAAGCCCCCCGGCCUCGACGUUCUUCUACUGAGGGGGCGGAAGAGACUCCAAGAAUUAUUUCGGAAGUGGCUGAGGACGCCGGGCUGGCGAGGACGGAUCCCGCCCUUCCUCCUGUGGGCGCUUUUGAUGUGGGGCUUGAAGUUCCCGCUGUUGCUGAGGAGGAGGUCCCCAAGGUGGGGUUCGAGGCCCCCAUUACUGAAGAGGAAGCUCAAGGAAAAAGUAGGCAGGUUAUUCUUGUAGACGAAGAUGUCCAAGAGGCCCCUAUCGGAGAUGUUGGAUCCGGCCCUGCUAGUGAAGGAGGAGUCACAGAGAAGGCUGGGGACAAGCGCCCUGCCUCCCCCGAAAUGUCUGCCCCAGCUCCCGCUCGAAAGAAAUCCAAGGCUUCCAAGGGAUCAGCUCCAGCUCUCCCCCCUAUUGGAAAGAAAAAGGAAGCUUCCAAGGGAUUAGCUCCAGCUCUCCCCCCUCUUGAAAAGAAGAAGGAUGUUCCUGUGAUACCCCUGUUGUCUGCUCCUGACAACGACAUUUUGAACGCUGAGGACAUCACUCAUCAAACUCCGGCGAGCGUUGUAGCGGAGAUCUUGCGGGAGCGGAUGUUCGGGGGAAUCACAGAGGCUUCGGACUCUCGUCUGCUUGCUUUGACCGGCCAUUUGGCUGGCUUCACACGAGAGCAGGCAGCCUUCCGGUCUCUACCUCGAGGAGAGCUCGGAGAUAGGAUUAGGGAGAUGCUCCUGAUGGUAAGUUGUUCGUUCCGAUUUCUUCUCGUAUUCUAAUUUUCUUUGUUUCUUUGUUCUGACAGUUUUCUCUUUUUGUACUAGGUGAUGGGCCUCUUCAUGGAGGUGGACGCUCGUGACCUCUCUCUUCGAGAAUCUGUUGAUCGCCGGAUCGAGGAGGCGCAUCUAGAGGAGAACCUGUCUGCGACCAGUGAUGCCAAGAGCAACCUUGCGGCAGCUCGAGAGCAUUCUAGGUCCCUAGCGGCGGAGUUGUCUCACGCUCGGAGGGUUCUUAAAGAGUCUGACGAGAGGGCAACAGCUGCUGAAGUCCGCUGUGAAGAAGUCCUGAAGCAGCUGUCCUCCACGGUAGAUGCCCUUCGUGAAAAGGACGAGGCUAUAAACCAGAGGGACGAGGCCCAGCGUCAAUAUGAGGCCUUGAAGGCUGAUUUCGAGGGAGUCCGGGCUCGUCUUAACAAGGUGGAGGUCCAGAAGGAGGAGGCACUAGCUCGGGUCGAGGUUCUCGAGCAGGAGUUAAGUAAAAGUUCGGAUCGUAUCAGAGACCUGGCUUCAGCGGCAGAGGAGUCUAAACUUCAUAAUCAAAAGCUCUGCCAUGAGGUCAGGACUUUGGAGCAUAAAUGCUCAGCCCUGCUCGAAGAUGCCAGACUCGCUGAAGACAGGGUCCAGCUAGAGUGUGAGAGGCGUCUGAUGGAGUAUAAAGAGUCUCCCGAGUUGAAGAAAGAGAUCGAGCAGGCCUGUGAAGCUCGCCUCCAGAUUUUCAAGAGUUCUUCUGAUUAUAAAGCCGAGGUUGCUGAGGCCUGCGAGAGGCGACUUGGGAAGUUUAAAGCUUCUGAUGAGAUGAAGACGGCCGUAUGGAACAAAGGCUUUCGCAUAUUCGUCUCUGGAUAUAACCGGGGCCUAAGGACAGCCAGAUACGCUCCCUCUACCCCGUUGGCUGAACUCCGAGCUAUAGAGGAAGACUCUGAUGGUGAGGAGGUGCUUUACGGGGAGGACGACAGGCCUUUGCCCAAAGGGGCUCCUCGUACUGCCACCGAACCUUCUGAGGCGGGCUCCGAGUCAGGGGAUGAAGACGCUGGGCCUCCAAGGCAAGAGAUUGUGCCCUUCACAGGGGCUGAGGGGUCUGUGCAGGAGGGUGCCAGACCUCUCCCAGAUGAUAAUGUAAAUAGUGCCAGUGUAGAUAAAGAUAGAGUAGAUGAUAACGUACCUAGGAGUAUUAGUCCUUUAAGGACUGUUUUUCCUCCAGCCCGUGCGGAUAAUCAGGAUAGGCUGUAAUGUAGUUUGUAAUAAUUACUUUUUCUUUUUAAUUUAAUUUUCAAAUUAUGUUGGUAUUUUGAGUUAUUUUGAUGGUUGUUUAUUUCUCUGGCUUUAUUCGUACUUGAGCUGUUCCUACCUCUGCUUGUUCUUCCCUCCUUAUCAGGCUACUUACUCUGUUUAGACAGUCUGACUUGUUUAAUUUUAAAGAUUUGAGAAUGAGACACUUAAACUGUGCCUAAUAAACUUGGUAAGGAAUCAACUAGAUCGUCUUUCAUUUCUUGCCCCUCAGUCAAUCAGGGCUGAAAUCUUAGCCAGAGACUUAGUAUCUGACUUAUAAUCUUUUCUAUUUCACAAGGGCGUUCUUAUCUAUAAAUUUUCUCCGAGCUAGAUUUGCCUUAAGGCCAAGAUCGUCAAGCUGUACUUUUAUAGAUUUCGACCUCAUUAGGUCUUCACUAUGAGCUCGGUUUUUAACAGCUGACUUAAUGUCUUCAACUUUUCUUUCCAUUAUUUCACAUGUACGAGCUUAGGCGUGUAGCCCUUUAUAACCAAAGCGAAAUGUAUCACGUACCUUUUAAAAUGGUGAGCAGGAUUGGCCUCCUUGUUUUUAGUUCUGUUCGGACGAGAACUGAAGCUGGGGUCUUAUCUGCUCACGCCAUUGGAUUUCUCCUUGGGUUUCCCCUUUACCUCCUUAGCAGUUAUUCCAUGGCUGGUGAGGGGGUAAAUACUUGGGCUCCAUUAAUGACCGUGCAACUCAAAAACAGUUUUUGUCAAAACGUCCUUUACUUGCGUUAUUUCUUUAUCUCUUUACUUUGGUGUUUAAAUGUAUGGCGAUCUGGAGAUGUGUUCUUGAUGAUGAAUGAUAUUUCACCUCGGCCUGUGCCUCAUCAUUAUUUUCUACUCAGACUGUCUUCUGGCUUUGUCAAUUUUACUUAUUUGGUGGACCAGGCUGGCUCUACUGGGAUCUUGCUAGUCGAACUGACCCGGGCUAAGAGCUCGGAGUCUGGUUAAGCUUCUGACUUGCGAGUUUUUCUUAUUCCCAUGAGGGCAUUUCUGUUUUUGACUCACGAUCUCGUCCUUGUUGCGAGCUCGGAUACAUAAUAUCUUGUUCUUCUGGAGAUAACCUUCUGGCAAUCAGUGCGGUUUGAGCUGCGUGCUCCACUGGGAUAGAGAGCUCGGUCUUUUGUCGUUUUCCUAUUCCUGGGUUAUCCUUGUUAAAUGUUUGUUUAUGCUGAGUUAACCCGAGCUGUGAGCACGGUCCUUUGCCUUCGUUUAUCCUUUUAUGUGUUUCUGCAUUCGUGGGCCUUUUCAUAGAGGGAGCUUGGUUCUCUGUUAUUUCUUCUGUACUUAUCUUUAUUCAUGUCGCGAGUUCAUCCGAGCUGGGAGCUCGGUUUUUUGCUUUUUGCUUAGGCUUUUAUGCUGGUAGCCUGUGACGCUGUCUGUAUCGCGAGCUCGGGAGUUCGAAAUUUCACUUUCUUCACUUUGGUGUCCCGAGCUCCUUUGUGAAGUCGAACUUAAUCUCUUGUUUUCUUGUCGAGCCUUAUAUGGGCUAUGUCUCAGUCUGACUGCUUAUUUGUUUGGCUUCAGCUUUUCUUUUAUAAACUUGUAGCCUCACCUUAAUUCGGUCUGCCUAUUGGAUUUACCAGUACCGAGCUCAUUUUCUUAAGAUCGGCAUGGUGCUUUGGCGCUUUGGCACCGCGAGCCUUGUAUUGGCCGUUAGUAGGUCGUAUUGCUACAUGAUACGGACGUUGGGGCGCCUUAGUGUAAUUUCGUUAUAUGCUGGCCAUUUUGCGAGAUCUAGGUCUUAUUAGCCGAAAUCCGAGCUCUUAUAAGAGGUCGGAUUCAAACUCUUUUAUUUAUAUUCUAGCACCCUCUUGAGGUCAGCAUGGCAUUUUGGCGCUUUUGGCUAUUGUGUGAGAUCAAAGUCUCUUUACUUUAUGACUCGAGCUCCUUUGGGAGGUCGGAGUUUAGAUUUUCAUUUAGGGUCUCGUGCCCCAAUCUUUUAUGUGAGGUCGGAACUAUGUUCUUAUGAGUUAAUUUUGCAUGUUGUCAUUGUAUACUGCUGUUUGCUGUGAGCAUACGACGCCGGAGAAUUCUUUGGGGAUCUCGGCCUUUGUCGCUCCGGGAGAUCUUUGAGAUCUUCGCCGGCCGUUUUUGCUCCGGGGAGAUCUUGGAGAUCCCGCCGACUGUUUUUGCUCCAGGAGAUCUUACGGGANNNNNNNNNNNNNNNNNNNNNNNNNNNNNNNNNNNNNNNNNNNNNNNNNNNNNNNNNNNNNNNNNNNNNNNNNNNNNNNNNNNNNNNNNNNNNNNNNNNNNNNNNNNNNNNNNNNNNNNNNNNNNNNNNNNNNNNNNNNNNNNNNNNNNNNNNNNNNNNNNNNNNNNNNNNNNNNNNNNNNNNNNNNNNNNNNNNNNNNNNNNNNNNNNNNNNCUCGCCGGCCGUUUUUUGCUCCAGGAGAUCUUACGGAAUCCUGGCCGUUUUUGCUCCAGAAGAUCUUACGGGAUCCUGGCCGUUUUUGCUCCGGGGAGAUCUUAGUGAUCCCACCGGCCGUUUUUGCUCCAGGAGAUCUUACGAGAUCCUGGUCUUCUACCUCCAGGAGGUCUUUAUGUCUCAAGGAGGUCUUCUGACAUCUGUUCUUUUCUUUUCCUGAGAGAGUUAAUACUCACAAUAAUAGAGAUAAUCAUUGCAUUAUUAUAAGAUAGUGUUAUUCAUGUUUUCAUAGUACAAGAAUUUCUUUUCACAAAUAUUCUAAGGAAAGUACCUCUUCCACUUCACCAGCUUAUUCAACCUUUUGUUCCUCCAACGAUCAUGUUGAUGGUUCCACUGGACCCAUCAUUCACUGGCUUUGCUCCCAUUCUCCUGAGUGUCUGCGCUGCUGGGUUCGGCUGAGACCUUUGUCCUUCUGGUUUCUUUAUAAAGUUCUUGAGGUGUCCCCCUCUUUAUCAGCCUCUCGAUCUCCGCAAUCAACUGGAAGCAGUUAUUGGUGUCGUGGCCGUGCGUGCGAUGGUACUGACAAUAUUUAUCAGGAUCUCGCUAGUUUGCUUCCGUUUUUAUCGGCCUGGGCCAUUGGAGGAACUCCUUAUCCUGGAUGGCCAUGAGCACUUCGGCUUUAGAGGCAUUGAGAGGGGUCAGCUUCUCUGGAACCCACGGAGGGAGUAGCCUCUGUUCUGAGACCCGAGGAGGGAGAGGUCUUUGGUCCCUUCGCUCCCAGGGUUGUCUGUAAGGCUCAGGCCUCUUGCCAUGCUUUUUCUCGUGCCUCUCCGGCCGCCCUGCCUCCGGUGCUUUCUCUUUAUAUGUCACUCCCCUAGCGAACCUGCUUGUCACCAAGGCAUCAUCCUGCCUUAUGUAUUUUUCAGCCCGCUUCAUCAGCUCGGCCAGUGAGGUCGGAGGCUUCCUGCUCAAUGAGCCAAAGAACUCGGCAGAGGUCGUCCCCUUCUGCAUGGCUUCCACUGCCCUUCCCUCAUCGAGUUCAGGAAUCUGUAGGGCCUCCGUAUUGAAACGGGCGACGUACUCCCUGAGCGAUUCGUCUCUCCUCUGCCUGAUCGUCUCCAAGUAGCUUGUCUUUCUAUCUGCAGGCACCCCGGCGAUAAAUCGGCUGGUGAAGCGAGUGGCCAGAUCUCCAAAGCUGCUGAUACUUCCGGCCUCAAGGUUAUUAAACCACGCCCGCGCUGGCCCCGAGAGUGUCAUUGGGAAUACCUUGCACAUCAAGGCAUCUGACAAGGUCUGCAGCUCCAUGAAAGUUUUGUAGUUCAAGACGUGCUCCCGGGGGUUUCCAGCUCUGUCAUAGGCCGCCAUAGGUGGCAUCAUAAAUUUCUUCGGGACGGUCUCCUGCUGUACCCACGUUGAGAAGGGUGAAGAGAUAGGCAGAAGAGUUUGGCUGGGGUCCUUCGCCCCUAACUCAGCCAAAAGUUGUUCUCUCAUCGUCUGCAGCUUUUGGUCUACGCUUUCUUCUUCCUGCCUGGGCCUCUUCUCUGCGCGACCUUCCUCCUCCUAUGUCUCGCUCCCCGCUCUUCCGGUGGUUCCGGCGGAAUAGCUAUCAACUUCAUCAUUCUCUAUCAGCUCCCUCACCCUCCUUCCAUGAACCCGAGCUUCCGACUCUUCCUCUUCUCCGGCUCUUCUCCUCCCGUCUCCGGUUUCUUGGCUGACAGUUCGGGGAUGGUUGAAGGUAGGCUGAGGUUCGUUGGUCCGGGGCUCUUCCACCACCGGCAACACCUGUACUGGGGUGCUGAGGUCCCGUUGCUGCAUUAUCUGCCCCAGCCAGUGGGCGGUGUUUUGUAACUGGAGAGCGAUGGUUUGGAGGUCCUGGUUGGACAAGGAAGCGGUGGAUACAUUCCCCGUCGGGCUUGGCGAGGGGUUGAAAGGAAUAGGUGGUUGAUUGUUUGGAGUUGUAGGACUGGAAAAGGAGAACUGUUGCCCCUCUUGGGCAGAGCUCAGGUCAUUUGGAGUGUUAAGAUUGUUGUUUUCAUUCUGAUUAGCCAUCGUGGAUCUCAGUGGGUUUGUUUAGAGUGGAACUCCGGUGAUGAAAAGAUCUCCUUCGUCCCCACAGACGGCGCCACUUGAUGAUCUGAGAUCCAGAAAAUAGAGUUUUACAAUGGGUUCUGUAAAACUGGAAAAAAACUUAGACCUAGAGGAGAGUAUUUCUCCUUUUAUAUGUUUUCUUUUGUCUGCUAGUGACGUGUAACAGAAUGUACGUCAUUGGGCCACCUGUCCCUGUCACGUUGAUAUGGACGUACGAGGAAAUCAGAUCACUGCCCCAUGCGUAACGGCCUCUGAUUCUCCCCGGGCACGCAUGCGGAUGGUCCCACAAGGCGAAUGGGCUGAACUCCUUCCUGGUUCCGAGCUGGGCCGAAAGAUAAGGUUAAGACUAGGUCCAGAGGGAAUCUGUUCAUUGGGCCGAAAGAGCUGGGCCAGCCUUAUUAAAGAAUCUGACUGGAGUCCGGUCUUUGAGCGGAGCGGGCUGGACCUGGCUCUUGGAGGAGACUUAGAAGCCUUCAGAUUAUGGGCUGUCCUAAUGAGCCUGACCUUAGACCGGGGCGAAGAAAUCCAGCGGUCAUCACAGCCCAUUUUAGCUUCUCUUGAAUUGAUACAGUAGAUUCUUGGAUGUGACCAACCUAGACAUCCAUUGGUAUAAAGUUAGAAAAAGAAUGCUCACACCUAGAGAUUUAACAGCAAUUCUUUAGUAGUAAUAAUAACAACCACCACCGAAACAGCUAGGAGAUUAGAAGACAGGUUUUACCAAUAUAGUAUAAUAUGCUGUAUUAGUAACUCCAUCACAAUAGAUUAGGUAAACCUAACAAAUUGCAUAAGAGACAAAAUGUAACUUGCAAUAUGAAAUCAAAGUAAUCUAACACGUAUUUGGCAUUAUUUGACAUGUCAAACAUUCAGGUCAGACAAACAUUAUGGUUUCUAUAGGCAGAACUUUGCUUGUAAUCAGCUGUUGCAACUAGGCAUACAAUAACCUGAGGUAAGAAAAUAGGGAGAUACUACUUGAACCAGAGAUCUUACCAGUUUGAUAGUGUUUGUUACAACAUAUUGCCAAGUCAUCCAUGUCUCAGAUCCCUCCCAGCUGCAAAUUGGACCUGUAUAUCACAAAACACUAGAAAGUUUCAAUAUGCUAAAAUGGGGAGACAAGGGGAUAAUGCAACACGAGCAAUAUGAAUACAAAUUCACAGCAUUCACAGACCUCAAAACACCAUACAACUGAUCCAACUUUACUCAAACUAUUCCCCAAAUAAUGGGAGGGGGAAAAUAAUCAGGCAACAACCAGUAUCUUCCUCACUAUUUUUCUUAAUUAAUUAGUAUAAUAGUAUAAAUUCUAAACUUAACACCAAACCCUUCUCAGUGAAAAAAAAAAAAAAAGUUGAAGAUGGAUCAGGGAAAAAGGAAAAUUUAAUCUUGGUCCAUAAAAGUUAAUUUAAAAACACUCUAACCUUAAAUAAUUAUAAUAAUAAUAACAAAGAAAUGUUUUGUUGACUUCAUUAAUUUUUUUUAAUUUUUUUCCUUUGUUAAUUUUCCCUAGUUCAUGUAGAAAAAGUUUCCCAAGUUUUUAAACAAUUAAAAGAGAUCUUCAAAUGGUAUAGGAUUGAUACACAUAAAUAGCCUUAAAAAAGAGCACAAAAUCAGUUUCGGCUUCUUAAUUCUAUCACUAAUUAAAUCUCCAAAGCUUGGUAAUUUGUUGUUUCCCCUUCAACUUGAAGAAGUACUUUUCAUGUGUAAACAUCUUUCCUAUCUAAGCAUAGAUUUCCCCUCCCCUGCCACCUCCAAGCUGAGACUUCAGGUAUAGCCAAAGCAAACUUCCUGGAAAAUCAGAGGGAGAGUAGAGCACCAUGCAUUACACGUGCUCUUAGGAAGCAUAACUGGUCAAAAUUCAAAUUCCAUGCGAGUCUUCAAAAAAAGUCCAUAAUAUUAUAUAUAUAGAGAGAGAGAGAGAGAUUGAUUAUUAUAAAUUUGACUUUGUAUAAAAAUUAAUUUAACAGUUUUUAUGUUAACUAUAUAUCAAAAAUUGUAUACUUAUUUAUUUGAAUUGCAUAUAUUGUACGAAUCUUAAAAUAUAAAUAUUAUUUAAGAUUUGUUUAUAUAUAAUAAACUUAUAUUGAAAUAUAUUUAUAAUUCCAAAUCAAAAUAUCAAGAUUCAGCUUAGAGAGAAAAUAGGGGAAAGCACACAAAAAACAGAGUAAACAACCAAUGAAACAUUUUAGACCCAUUUAUAUUCUAUGUUCAGAAGCUGCAUAUAGUUGUAAUUGGAAUGAUAAAAACAAUAAAAGAUGCUCUAUUCUUCAUGUUCUUUAUGCAAAAGGAAUAUGUGAUUAUCUGUGUCAACUCUUCAAGUAAUAGGAAAUAUGGAAAAGAAAAACUUCCCAUUCUCCCUAAAUAUUUUAACAUAUACUAUUCACUUUAAUUAAAAAAAUAAGCAUAAAGUACUCAUUUUGUUAAUGGCGCACAUUAUAGAUUGAUUAAUUAAUUACACUAUCAUAUGAGGAUAUUUAAUUUAUUCAGCUACCGGGAAGAAUUAUUUCAAACUUGUGAUGUUCUGUCAACACAUGGAGACCUGAUCCUGAACCUAACACCCCAUGACUCAUCAAGUGAUUAAUAAUUAAAUAUUUAUUAAUUAAAAAUACUUUAUUACACCACGUGGGGAGGAGUUCAUCAGGAAUGCAACUUCAUGGAAAGAACACAGAAAUAUUUGGAAAAAAAAGAGAGUAGAAAGCUUCUGUAAAUCUAUGUGUAUAUAUAUAUAUAAUCAAUCACCAUCACAAUCCACAAGCCAAAAUCAUACAGUACAGGCACAAAACCUUACUCAAUUAAAGCAGCCAGUGACAUGUUCAACCAAAUGUGGAGUGGAAAUAAUACCUCGGAUUUUGAUGAUUUCGCUCUCUUGGACUCGAUUCAACAGUAUCUUCUUGAUGAUAAUAAUUUCGAAACACUAACAAGUAUCCCACCGGUUAAUUCAUGCGACGAAUCAAGCUUUUCUAGUCUCCUCUUCACUGAUACCUGCAGUGAUUUUCCAAUCAAGGUAAACGAUUCAGGUGACAUGAGCAUUUUCAGUUCACUAUCUGAUGAAAGGAGCAUUAUUGGAUGGAGUCAAUUAAAUCAAUUUGAUUCGACGGCCACGGAAACAACAACGACAACGACCAUCAAACGGGAGGAUCUUGAUGCAGUUGCUAGUCCGGAGGGUGUGGCCACUACUCCAAAAGUUGUGGCUGCGCGUAAGAAUAACGGAGAGUGUAAAGGAUGGCAGUACAAAGGUGUGAGGAGAAGGCCAUGGGGGAAGUAUGCGGCGGAGAUAAGAGACCCGAAGAAAAAUGGUGCUAGAGUUUGGCUUGGAACUUACGAGACACCUGAGGAUGCGGCUCUGGCAUACGACCAAGCAGCUUUUCAGCUACGCGGCUCAAAAGCUAAGCUAAAUUUUCCUCACCUCAUCGGCUCUAGUGAUUACCGGGCUCCAGUGAGAGUAAGCCCCAAGCGGCGAUCACCGGAUCCCACCACAAUGUUGGAGGGUAGCUCGCCUAAGCGGGCAAAAUGAGGGACUAAAAUAUAUAUCUGUGGACUGUAUAUCC